rnacentral:rRNA from 1 species
GUGAUGGCCUACCAAGGCUUUGACGGGUAACCGGCCUGAGAGGGUGACCGGUCACAUUGGGACUGAGAUACGGCCCAGACUCCUACGGGAGGCAGCAGUGGGGAAUUUUGCACAAUGGGCGAAAGCCUGAUGCAGCGACGCCGCGUGAGGGAUGACGGCCUUCGGGUUGUAAACCUCUUUCGCUCAUGGUCAAGGCUAGUUGUUGUUCUAGUUGAGGGUAGUGGGUAAAGAAGCGCCGGCUAACUACGUGCCAGCAGCCGCGGUAAUACGUAGGGCGCGAGCGUUGUCCGGAAUUAUUGGGCGUAAAGGGCUUGUAGGCGGCUUGUCGCGUCUGCCGUGAAAACCCAUAGCUUAACUGUGGGCUUGCGGUGGGUACGGGCUGGCUUGAGUGCGGUAGGGGAGACUGGAAUUCCUGGUGUAGCGGUGGAAUGCGCAGAUAUCAGGAGGAACACCGGUGGCGAAGGCGGGUCUCUGGGCCGUUACUGACGCUGAGGAGCGAAAGCGUGGGGAGCGAACAGGAUUAGAUACCCUGGUAGUCCACGCUGUAAACGUUGGGCACUAGGUGUGGGGGCCGCCCUUGGUUUCUGCGCCGUAGCUAACGCUUUAAGUGCCCCGCCUGGGGAGUACGGCCGCAAGGCUAAAACUCAAAGGAAUUGACGGGGGCCCGCACAAGCGGCGGAGCAUGCGGAUUAAUUCGAUGCAACGCGAAGAACCUUACCAAGGCUUGACAUGCACCGCGACACUGCAGAGAUGUGGUGGCCUUCGGGGUGGUGUGCAGGUGGUGCAUGGUUGUCGUCAGCUCGUGUCGUGAGAUGUUGGGUUAAGUCCCGCAACGAGCGCAACCCUUGCCCUAUGUUGCCAGCACGUGAUGGUGGGGACUCGUGGGGGACUGCCGGGGUUAACUCGGAGGAAGGUGGGGAUGACGUCAAAUCAUCAUGCCCCUUAUGUCUUGGGCUUCACGCAUGCUACAAUGGCUGGUACAGAGGGUUGCGAUACUGUGAGGUGGAGCGAAUCCCUUAAAGCUGGUCUCAGUUCGGAUUGGGGUCUGCAACUCGACCCCAUGAAGGUGGAGUCGCUAGUAAUCGCAGAUCAGCAACGCUGCGGUGAAUACGUUCUCGGGCCUUGUACACACCGCCCGUCACGUCACGAAAGUUGGUAACACCCGAAGCUCAUGGCCUAACCGUUUU